AUGCUGAUAGUAUAAACAGUACAAUUGCCUUCCAAGCAAAAAGACCGAAGAUGGUCAGCAUA
rnacentral:tRNA from 2 species